rnacentral:rRNA from 1 species
CGUCAAAUCAUCAUGCCCCUUAUGUCCAGGGCUACACACGUACUACAAUGGCCGGCAACAGCGCGAAGCGAAGGAGCGAUCCGGAGCGAAUCGCGAAACCCGGUCCCAGUUCGGAUUGCAGGCUGCAACCCGCCUGCAUGAAGUCGGAAUUGCUAGUAAUCGCGGAUCAGCAUGCCGCGGUGAAUACGUUCCCGGGCCUU